rnacentral:rRNA from 1 species
AGUGAACGCUGGCGGUAGGCCUAACACAUGCAAGUCGAACGGCAGCACAGUAAGAGCUUGCUCUUACGGGUGGCGAGUGGCGGACGGGUGAGGAAUACAUCGGAAUCUACUUUUUCGUGGGGGAUAACGUAGGGAAACUUACGCUAAUACCGCAUACGACCUACGGGUGAAAGCAGGGGAUCUUCGGACCUUGCGCGAUUGAAUGAGCCGAUGUCGGAUUAGCUAGUUGGCGGGGUAAAGGCCCACCAAGGCGACGAUCCGUAGCUGGUCUGAGAGGAUGAUCGGCCACACUGGAACUGAGACACGGUCCAGACUCCUACGGGAGGCAGCAGUGGGGAAUAUUGGGCAAUGGGCGCAAGCCUGAUCCAGCUAUACCGCGUGGGUGAAGAAGGCCUUCGGGUUGUAAAGCCCUUUUGUUGGGAAAGAAAAGCAGCAGGUUAAUACCCCGCUGUUCUGACGGUACCCAAAGAAUAAGCACCGGCUAACUUCGUG